AAGCAUAUAAAUAAAAUUUAUUUUUUUUUUACUAUAGAAAGAAAAAUUGUGGCUGCUAACUACAAUAAGGGUUAC
rnacentral:tRNA from 1 species